rnacentral:tRNA from 4 species
GCCGUUGUAGCUCAGUUGGUAGAGCACGUCAUUCGUAAUGAUGGGGUCGGGGGUUCGAUUCCUCUCAACGGCACCA